rnacentral:rRNA from 1 species
AAAUUCGCCUUCAUGAAGCUGGAAUUGCUAGUAAUGGCAGGUCAGCAUACUGCCGUGAAUACGUUCCCGGGCCUUGUACACACCGCCCGUCACACCAUGAGAGUUGGGAAUACCCGAAGCCUGUGAGCUAACUUAUAGAGGCAGCAGUCGAAGGUAGAAUCAAUGAUUGGGGUGAAGUCGUAACAAGGUAAC